AGAUUUUGUAGGAUCGAGGCCUUCCUGUCUAG
rnacentral:tRNA from 1 species